rnacentral:rRNA from 1 species
AGAUUAAGUUAUUAAGGGCGCACGGUGGAUGCCUUGGCACUAGAAGCCGAUGAAGGACGUUACUAACGACGAUAUGCUUUGGGGAGCUGUAAGUAAGCUGUGAUCCAGAGAUUUCCGAAUGGGGGAACCCAGCACGAGUUAUGUCGUGUUAUCCGCAUGUGAAUACAUAGCAUGUGAGAAGGUAGACCCGGAGAACUGAAACAUCUUAGUACCCGGAGGAAGAGAAAGAAAAAUCGAUUCCCUGAGUAGCGGCGAGCGAAACGGGAAGAGCCCAAACCAACAAGCUUGCUUGUUGGGGUUGUAGGACACUCUGUACGGAGUUACAAAGGAAUACGUUAGACGAAUAACCUGGAAAGGUUAAUCAUAGAAGGUAAUAAUCCUGUAGUCGAAAACGUAUACCCUCCUGAGUGGAUCCUGAGUACGGCGGAGCACGUGAAAUUCCGUCGGAAUCUGGGAGGACC